rnacentral:rRNA from 1 species
UACGGAGGGUGUAAGCGUUAUCCGGAUUCACUGGGUUUAAAGGGUGCGUAGGCGGGCAGGUAAGUCCGUGGUGAAAUCUCUGAGCUUAACUCAGAAACUGCCAUGGAUACUAUUUGUCUUGAAUAUUGUGGAGGUGAGCGGAAUAUGUCAUGUAGCGGUGAAAUGCUUAGAUAUGACAUAGAACACCAAUUGCGAAGGCAGCUCACUACACAAUUAUUGACGCUGAGGCACGAAAGCGUGGGGAUCAAACAGG